CCUACGGGUGGCAGCAGUAGGGAAUUUUGCGCAAUGGGCGAAAGCCUGACGCAGCAACACCGCGUGAAUGUUAAGCCCUUCGGGGUGUAAAGUUCUGUCAAUAGGGACGAAUUUUGACUGUACCUAUAAAGGAAGCACCGGCUAACUCCGUGCCAGCAGCCGCGGUAAUACGGGGGGUGCAAGCGUUGUCCGGAAUCAUUGGGCGUAAAGCGUUCGUAGGCGGUAUGUCAAGUCAAGGGUGAAAUCCCCGCGCUCAACGUGGGAACUGCCUUUGAAACUGGCAAACUGGAGUGUGUGAGAGGAUAGUGGAAUUCCAGGUGUAGGAGUGAAAUCCGUAGAGAUCUGGAGGAACAUCAGUGGCGAAGGCGACUAUCUGGCACAUAACUGACGCUGAGGAGCGAAAGCGUGGGUAGCAAACAGGAUUAGAUACCCCAGUAGUC
rnacentral:rRNA from 1 species